AGAGUAAAAACAUGAGCGUUAAGUGUUGCCGGGACGGGGAGUUGUCCGGUAAACGAAAGGUCAGUGACUUGCGGUUCAUGUUUUGCAUCCCGCU
rnacentral:ncRNA from 1 species